CACUGUCCCUGUCUACUA
rnacentral:snRNA from 1 species